GAUGAACGCUGGCGGCGUGCCUAAUACAUGCAAGUCGAGCGAACGGACGAGAAGCUUGCUUCUCUGAUGUUAGCGGCGGACGGGUGAGUAACACGUGGAUAACCUACCUAUAAGACUGGGAUAACUUCGGGAAACCGGAGCUAAUACCGGAUAAUAUUUUGAACCGCAUGGUUCAAAAGUGAAAGACGGUCUUGCUGUCACUUAUAGAUGGAUCCGCGCUGCAUUAGCUAGUUGGUAAGGUAACGGCUUACCAAGGCAACGAUGCAUAGCCGACCUGAGAGGGUGAUCGGCCACACUGGAACUGAGACACGGUCCAGACUCCUACGGGAGGCAGCAGUAGGGAAUCUUCCGCAAUGGGCGAAAGCCUGACGGAGCAACGCCGCGUGAGUGAUGAAGGUCUUCGGAUCGUAAAACUCUGUUAUUAGGGAAGAACAUAUGUGUAAGUAACUGUGCACAUCUUGACGGUACCUAAUCAGAAAGCCACGGCUAACUACGUGCCAGCAGCCGCGGUAAUACGUAGGUGGCAAGCGUUAUCCGGAAUUAUUGGGCGUAAAGCGCGCGUAGGCGGUUUUUUAAGUCUGAUGUGAAAGCCCACGGCUCAACCGUGGAGGGUCAUUGGAAACUGGAAAACUUGAGUGCAGAAGAGGAAAGUGGAAUUCCAUGUGUAGCGGUGAAAUGCGCAGAGAUAUGGAGGAACACCAGUGGCGAAGGCGACUUUCUGGUCUGUAACUGACGCUGAUGUGCGAAAGCGUGGGGAUCAAACAGGAUUAGAUACCCUGGUAGUCCACGCCGUAAACGAUGAGUGCUAAGUGUUAGGGGGUUUCCGCCCCUUAGUGCUGCAGUUAACGCAUUAAGCACUCCGCCUGGGGAGUACGACCGCAAGGUUGAAACUCAAAGGAAUUGACGGGGACCCGCACAAGCGGUGGAGCAUGUGGUUUAAUUCGAAGCAACGCGAAGAACCUUACCAAAUCUUGACAUCCUUUGACAACUCUAGAGAUAGAGCCUUCCCCUUCGGGGGACAAAGUGACAGGUGGCGCAUGGUUGUCGUCAGCUCGUGUCGUGAGAUGUUGGGUUAAGUCCCGCAACGAGCGCAACCCUUAAGCUUAGUUGCCAUCAUUAAGUUGGGCACUCUAAGUUGACUGCCGGUGACAAACCGGAGGAAGGUGGGGAUGACGUCAAAUCAUCAUGCCCCUUAUGAUUUGGGCUACACACGUGCUACAAUGGACAAUACAAAGGGCAGCGAAACCGCGAGGUCAAGCAAAUCCCAUAAAGUUGUUCUCAGUUCGGAUUGUAGUCUGCAACUCGACUACAUGAAGCUGGAAUCACUAGUAAUCGUAGAUCAGCAUGCUACGGUGAAUACGUUCCCGGGUCU
rnacentral:rRNA from 1 species